rnacentral:rRNA from 1 species
CAGUUGGAAACGGCUGCUAAUACCGCAUAAGCGCACGAGAGGACAUCCUCUUGUGUGAAAAACUCCGGUGGUACAGGAUGGGCCCGCGUCUGAUUAGCUGGUUGGCAGGGUAACGGCCUACCAAGGCGACGAUCAGUAGCCGGUCUGAGAGGAUGAACGGCCACAUUGGAACUGAGACACGGUCCAAACUCCUACGGGAGGCAGCAGUGGGGAAUAUUGCACAAUGGGGGAAACCCUGAUGCAGCAACGCCGCGUGAGUGAAGAAGUAUUUCGGUAUGUAAAGCUCUAUCAGCAGGGAAGAUAAUGACGGUACCUGACUAAGAAGCUCCGGCUAAAUACGUGCCAGCAGCCGCGGUAAUACGUAUGGAGCAAGCGUUAUCCGGAUUUACUGGGUGUAAAGGGUGCGUAGGUGGCAGUGCAAGUCAGAUGUGAAAGGCCGGGGCUCAACCCCGGAGCUGCAUUUGAAACUGCAUAGCUAGAGUACAGGAGAGGCAGGCGGAAUUCCUAGUGUAGCGGUGAAAUGCGUAGAUAUUAGGAGGAACACCAGUGGCGAAGGCGGCCUGCUGGACUGUUA